ensembl:lncRNA
GUGGCGUAGUUAGCAUGUGCUAGCUAAAACAGUCAAGGAGCGAACGUCAAGUGUACAUUAUCAGUCCUUGAAAACUGAAAACGUACAGUCUGAACCGGACCAAAGACCGAUUUCAUCCCGAGCAAUAAUGUCUAUUGAGACAAAGAGACAGACAACUAAAAGAAGACAAAGAAGACUUUUGCACCAAAGUCAUAGAGAUGUAUUUCCAGAAGGAGAGGCGAAUGGACUUAAGUAAUUUACAAGUAAAGAGCGGCGGUGACUUUGGUGCGCGGUGCAGCCCAGUUGGUAGAAGUCAGUGCAGAGGCUACAGAUAUGAGCAGCAAACUUUUCCCCUCAAGUCAGCAUAAAAUGCGAAGACGAGCAGGAUCGGUUAAUUGGUGAUUGGCUGCAGGUGUGGGAGAGUGAAUGGGCGUCUGUCUCCAUGUCAGCCCUGCGAUUGACUGGCAACUGGGCCAGUGUUUUGCUCAAUGUAAACUGGGCUACCUUCUAGGGAUCAGCGGUAAAUACAAUGAAUAUUUAACUAUUAUUUAUUUCCACAUAUGUAUCCUAAAGAAACAACACUAUAGAAUUUUCUAUAUUUUACACAAAAGAAAAAUAUUUUUUACUUAAGGUUUCCACAUGAAUCUUUUAUAAGUUGCAUAUUGUAUAACAAUUGACUCCAAAAUGUCCAAACAAGCCAAACCACUAGCAUAAAAGCUAACGGUGGUGACAAUGCUAAAAUUGGAACAACAGCCAAAGUGUGCAGAGCUAACCGUGUGUUUACCUGAGAGGAGCUACGGCUCCACCGCCACAAAGUCGGAUUACAACCAAGGCAGAUAGAAGGCUUCUCCUGC